rnacentral:rRNA from 1 species
AACACGUGGGUAACCUGCCUGUAAGACUGGGAUAACUCCGGGAAACCGGAGCUAAUACCGGAUAGUUCCUUGAACCGCAUGGUUCAAGGAUGAAAGACGGUUUCGGCUGUCACUUACAGAUGGACCCGCGGCGCAUUAGCUAGUUGGUGAGGUAACGGCUCACCAAGGCGACGAUGCGUAGCCGACCUGAGAGGGUGAUCGGCCACACUGGGACUGAGACACGGCCCAGACUCCUACGGGAGGCAGCAGUAGGGAAUCUUCCGCAAUGGACGAAAGUCUGACGGAGCAACGCCGCGUGAGUGAUGAAGGUUUUCGGAUCGUAAAGCUCUGUUGUUAGGGAAGAACAAGUGCAAGAGUAACUGCUUGCACCUUGACGGUACCUAACCAGAAAGCCACGGCUAACUACGUGCCAGCAGCCGCGGUAAUACGUAGGUGGCAAGCGUUGUCCGGAAUUAUUGGGCGUAAAGGGCUCGCAGGCGGUUUCUUAAGUCUGAUGUGAAAGCCCCCGGCUCAACCGGGGAGGGUCAUUGGAAACUGGGAAACUUGAGUGCAGAAGAGGAGAGUGGAAUUCCACGUGUAGCGGUGAAAUGCGUAGAGAUGUGGAGGAACACCAGUGGCGAAGGCGACUCUCUGGUCUGUAACUGACGCUGAGGAGCGAAAGCGUGGGGAGCGAACAGGAUUAGAUACCCUGGUAGUCCACGCCGUAAACGAUGAGUGCUAAGUGUUAGGGGGUUUCCGCCCCUUAGUGCUGCAGCUAACGCAUUAAGCACUCCGCCUGGGGAGUACGGUCGCAAGACUGAAACUCAAAGGAAUUGACGGGGGCCCGCACAAGCGGUGGAGCAUGUGGUUUAAUUCGAAGCAACGCGAAGAACCUUACCAGGUCUUGACAUCCUCUGACAACCCUAGAGAUAGGGCUUUCCCUUCGGGGACAGAGUGACAGGUGGUGCAUGGUUGUCGUCAGCUCGUGUCGUGAGAUGUUGGGUUAAGUCCCGCAACGAGCGCAACCCUUGAUCUUAGUUGCCAGCAUUCAGUUGGGCACUCUAAGGUGACUGCCGGUGACAAACCGGAGGAAGGUGGGGAUGACGUCAAAUCAUCAUGCCCCUUAUGACCUGGGCUACACACGUGCUACAAUGGACAGAACAAAGGGCUGCGAGACCGCAAGGUUUAGCCAAUCCCACAAAUCUGUUCUCAGUUCGGAUCGCAGUCUGCAACUCGACUGCGUGAAGCUGGAAUCGCUAGUAAUCGCGGAUCAGCAUGCCGCGGUGA